GUCUACGGCCAUGCCACCCUGAACAAGCCUGAUGUCUGACCUCGGAAGCUAAACAGGGUCGGGCCAUUGUUAGUACUUGGAUGGGAGACCACCUAGGAAGACCAGGUGCUGUAGGCA
rnacentral:rRNA from 1 species